GUGGGGAAUAUUGGACAAUGGGCGAAAGCCUGAUCCAGCCAUGCCGCGUGUGUGAAGAAGGUCUUCGGAUUGUAAAGCACUUUAAGUUGGGAGGAAGGGCAGUAAGUUAAUACCUUGCUGUUUUGACGUUACCGACAGAAUAAGCACCGGCUAACUUCGUGCCAGCAGCCGCGGUAAUACGAAGGGUGCAAGCGUUAAUCGGAAUUACUGGGCGUAAAGCGCGCGUAGGUGGUUUGGUAAGUUGGAGGUGAAAUCCCCGGGCUCAACCUAGGAACUGCCUCCAAAACUGCAUGACGGGAGUACGGUAGAGGGGAGUGGAAUUUCCUGUGUAGCGGUGAAAUGCGUAGAUAUAGGAAGGAACACCAGUGGCGAAGGCGACUACCUGGACUGAUACUGACACUGAGGUGCGAAAGCGUGGGGAGCAAACAGGAUUAGAUACCCGGGUAGUCC
rnacentral:rRNA from 1 species